CACACAGCUGUUAAUCUCCCCACGUGCGUGGGACAGGAAUUAUUACCUAUUAAGAUGUGAUUUUCUUUUUUCCUUUCUCAAUGUUAAUCCACCUAAGCCAGUACCCUCUGACAUGAGUGGAUAGAUGCCUUCCCACCAGUGUUCUUGAUGGCCAACUGGAAUGUAGGCUUAGAUCUCUGCUGCAGGGGCCGUGAGAUUGUAACAGAGCCAGUGCGGCUAACCCUCCCAUUCUUUUGUGUUGUCCCGAGACAGAGGGUGUAAACGAGUAUCUUCCAGGUGCAAAAAUGCUGUUGGGAAAGACCUGUCUGAAGUGUAGGCAACACCCUAGUGUGAUGGCGGAAUCAGGAGUGCAGCAAGCAGAGGAUCUCUCCGGGCCCUGACGCGUGCUCACUUUGCCCGGCGUUAAACAAGGAGAGCACCAUGGAGGUUCUGAACUGGAUUGCCAUUCAUUCAGCACAAAUAAAUCCUUCCGUUUCACAGGGUUGUGGGGUGGGUGGGGGACACCAAGUGGCUCUUUUGUGACCUUUGUCUCUGUCUGUCCUUGGUUACUUUGUGCUUUUAUAGUCAAGUGCUUCCCCCUGCCUGUGUUUGCAUAUUUAUAUAUGCCGUGGAUGGAAAUAACUUACUAGAGAAUGUAUAUUUUAUGACGAGAAGCGUGACUCUGUUGGAUAUAAUCAGAGGACUGAAAAAUUAAUUUAUCAGUAAUUUUUAAGAGUUCAUGUUUGUGGCAACCAUCUCUAACAGCAGCUCCUCGUGGAACACACUCCCGAGAACAAGGAAUACCCUGGUGACAUUGUAGAUAAUUAAUAUUGUACAGUCUAGAAACCUCCAUUUUUGCCUUCGAAUGCAUAUUUUAAGAGCUAACAGAUUGGAAAAGUGUUAUUGGAUAAUAGUGUUUGACAGCAUUGUAAGAGCUUGAGAGUAAGAAUCACUGUAGGAGCUUUUCACUCUUCCCGUCCACCCCUAAACUGGGAUCGUCACCCUCCAGCGACCAGGAAGAAACUGUGGGCCUACAAAAGUUCUACUUAUGAGGUGUGCGAGUGCGACGUUCAGGCCGUGGUGCGGUUAGCAGGCACGAGGUGGAGUCUGAUAUCUCCUGUCAAGGUGUUAGGUUUUCAGUGUCAGACCAAACCCCGGGCAUUUCCAGCAGUUCCCCGACCCUCUUGGUACAUGACCAUUCCAGGGAAAUUCUGAGGCUAGGCAGAAUUCUUCCUUCACGGUACAGUCUUGGUUUGUCUUUUUUUUUUUUUUUUUUUUCCUUUCGAGAGAAAUACGGUAUGUGUUUACAAGAAUCUUUUCUGGGAUUGUAGAUUUCAGUACCGCUGGCUAGCAGCAUAUCCUCCAGCACAUAGGUCCGUUCUGGAAAGGUCUUCCCUCCACGUCAGUUGAGUUACCUCCUAGAAGCACAAGCGUGAAGGCGAUCGGAGGAGCCUUUGAGAGGCAGGUUCUUGACCUUCAGGCUUGACCCAGAAAGUGUACUUCAGAUUCCUCUCCAGCCAUCACCUCAACUCAAACCCAACCCUUCCUAACAGCAGUUGCUAUCUCAGUCACCGGUCCCUGCAGGUGUUAAGAACCAAAAGAACAAACACUAGGAUCUGAACGUAGAGUGUUUUGUGUCAGUUUUGAAGCACGUAGCGAUAGAACCAGAGCCCCUAGGGACAGGAGCCCCACUACUGUGGGCUGGACGUGGCUUCUAUAGGUUCAGUUCCCCUACUCUCUCAUAGGCUAACGCUAGAUGAGAAUCUGUAGCCAUCCUCAGCGGGUGAGAGCAACAGUAACCUUCAGUGGCUUCAUUUCCUGUCCUGUUGACAGAGACCCUCGGGUACCACUGUGCUGCUAAUAGGGCCAGGCCUCUGUUCCCCGAUGACCUCGCCUUUGUACAGAACCAAGUCCACGCACCCAGCACCUCUGGGUUCUUAACUGCUUUCUCUCGUCAAGCGUGCUGGUAUUCUAGACAGAACUUUUGGCAGGCAUGGAGGUGUUUUAAGAUUUUUUUUUUUUACUUAAAAUGUCUUUGUCGACCGGAAGGACUUUUAGAUUCUGGGAUCAUGAGACACCUGCCAGAAGGUGGCUCUCGACGGCUCGUGCUGCUGUGCCUUCGUCAUUGGCUUCUGAUUCAACCAGAAAUAACUGAUAAUGUGAAUCUUUGUCGAUCCCUCAGUUGUAGGUAAACCGUAUUCCCCACUGUUAGGUGAAAUCUGCCCUGUGCAAAGCCCUGCGUGUAGAGAUAACCCAGGAAGUCGGGAACGUGUGGCAGUGCGUGUUUUCAGAAAGUUUUAUUUUUUAGAAUGCAGAAGGAAGUUUUCUUUGUGGCUUGAUCUUCCGUCUAGUAUCUGUCUAAUAGGUUAACCGAUGCCGAGAGCUUCGUAGCGAUGCCUACCAAAGACAUGCGUAGUAAACCUUCUAUUUCCAAAUUAUUCAAGAGCCAGCCGUUGAUGCUGCUUCACGGUUCUUUCUCAGGAGCCAUCGUGAGAGACUGAAACAUGCUUACGAGCUUUUUUUUUUGUUUGUUUGUUCUAAGUUUUAGGUCUUUUUUUUUUUUUUAAAUUUUUGAUUAAAAUGUGUUAGCCUAACAUGUUGGGGAGCAUUUCCCAGAAUGCUCGGCAGUUGUGAGUACUGGCCACACCCCAGGUCACCUCUUGCGGAGUGAUCGGUGGGGUCCUCUGUGCAUGCUAGCAAGGGUGCUGUGCGCGUGUGCGUGUACGUGUGUGCAUUCAUGCCUUAACUUGGGUUACCGCUCAGCUUUGCUGUCUGACCUGGUCCUCGCCAUCAUCAGAUUGCAUCGUGCAACUUGAUCUGAACUUCAUUCUGGUUAAAAAAAAAGAGAGAGAGAUAAAAAAACAGAAAAGCAAGGUUGCAGGCAGCACAGGCUGGAGUGCAUUCCUUUGGAAGAAUGUCUGCUCGGACGGACCCUGAGAUGUCUCCACAGACUUUAUUUGGGACUUAGUUUGGGAAGAAAGCCGACUGUCGAUUGGGCAGAUGUCGACAAGGACGAGGGGGAGAGCCGGAAUGCUAGCACGCCCUCUGCCUCCACAUAACUCGUGUGCUCUGUGUGUUGUCUGGGUAGCUUGUCUGCGGCUUAACUAGCUUGGAGUUCAGGUAACGGUGGCAAUCCCGACAUUCAUCUGUUGGAGUUUAGAGAGAUGUAAGAUGUCCAGUUACUGUCUUAUUUACUUUAUGUUGAUCAGUCUUUAAUACAUGUGCUGAAUCAGAAAAACCUAAAUAAAGAUAAUUUUUUAAAACGUACUCCUCG
rnacentral:lncRNA from 1 species